rnacentral:rRNA from 1 species
CUAAGUUUGAUGGCGACCGGCGCACGGGUGAGUAACACGUAUCCAACCUGCCGAUGACUCGGGGAUAGCCUUUCGAAAGAAAGAUUAAUACCCGAUGGCAUAGUUCUUCCGCAUGGUGGAACUAUUAAAGAAUUUCGGUUAUCGAUGGGGAUGCGUUCCAUUAGGCAGUUGGUGGGGUAACGGCCCACCAAACCUUCGAUGGAUAGGGGUUCUGAGAGGAAGGUCCCCCACAUUGGAACUGAGACACGGUCCAAACUCCUACGGGAGGCAGCAUG